rnacentral:misc_RNA from 1 species
UUUCCGUAGGUGAACCUGCGGAUGGAUCAUUAUUGUAGUAUCCAGGCUCGAGGGUUGUAACUGUUCCGACUGUUAUAGCCAGCGCGAGUGGUCCCGUAACCGUCAACGUCGCCCCUUACUCCGCCACUACAUGGAUACCGAUUUAGCUUAUUAGGCGGAGGGUAUCCAAUUUCAACUAUUCUUAGCGUAUCGUGUAGCUUGUGUUUCGUUUUUUAGCGCACACGCUCGCAAUACCACUUUCAACAACGCAACUCUUAGCUCCCGCAUCGGUGUAGAAUC